CCUGCUGCUGUGACACACACAUGUACAAUGAUACUUCAUUCAGUCAUUCUGCUUUCUACCUUGGCAGGUGUGAGUUUUGGAGAUGAAAUCACAGCAGACAGCACUGAAGAAACUGCUGAAGUGGGUUCAACUCUUACUUUAUCCUGCAGUUAUUCUUCUGCACAAUCCCUUCAAUGGUACCGUCAGUAUCCCGGAUCAGCUCCUCAGUUUCUUGUGCUAAUAAUGGAGAGUGUGAAAGAGAAUAGGACAUCUGAUAUAGACCCCAGAUUCUCCACUAAGCUCAGAAAAGAAAAACAAGCUACAAAAGAAAUCAAACAUGUGGAUCUGAUCAUCUCCUCUCCUGCUGUAUCUGACUCUGCUCUGUAUUACUGUGCUCUGAGGCCCACAGUGACAGGAAACACUACAACACUGUACAAAAACCUGACAUAUGAAAAUGUACAACCAUUUUUUCUAUAAAUAUAUGUAGAUUCUAAAUUUACACUGUAUUAAUAUCAGAUAGGAUAAACCAUAUAGUUGCAGGAAUGCUAUUUGUUAACACUGUAC